UACGAAGGGGGCUAGCGUUGCUCGGAAUCACUGGGCGUAAAGGGUGCGUAGGCGGGGCUUUAAGUCAGGGGUGAAAUCCUGGAGCUCAACUCCAGAACUGCCUUUGAUACUGAGGAUCUUGAGUUCGGGAGAGGUGAGUGGAACUGCGAGUGUAGAGGUGAAAUUCGUAGAUAUUAGGAAGAACACCAGUGGCGAAGGCGGCUCACUGGUCCGGUACUGACGCUGAGGUGCGAAAGCGUGGGGAGCAAACAGG
rnacentral:rRNA from 1 species